rnacentral:rRNA from 1 species
UACGUAGGGUGCAAGCGUUGUCCGGAAUUAUUGGGCGUAAAGAGCUCGUAGGCGGUUUGUCGCGUCUGCUGUGAAAAUCCAGGGCUUAACCCUGGACCUGCAGUGGGUACGGGCAGACUGGAGUGCGGUAGGGGAGAUCGGAAUUCCUGGUGUAGCGGUGAAAUGCGCAGAUAUCAGGAGGAACACCGGUGGCGAAGGCGGAUCUCUGGGCCGUAACUGACGCUGAGGAGCAAAAGCAUGGGGAGCGAACAGG